UGCCAGCGCCAUGGUCAACGAGAGCAACGCAAGCCGUGGACUUAAGCAACCCUCGGGACACCUUCGCCUUCAGUGAGCACGAAAGCAGCGCACACAGCGGAAUGGCUCUUUAUCUAGUCUUCAGCCUACAGAUCAAGCAUGCAUGGCAAAGGCCCAUUCGUCGCAAUUUGUGCACGAAGCAAGUUAAUGAAGACACAUUACACUGGGCAACUUCUCGUUCAAGUCGCUGCGCCAAACAAGGGUGGCCUUCUUCCGUCAUCAAUCACCGUCGGAAACCUCCGCCGGUGCGCUCAGCGCUGGAAGGCCGAAUACCGAAUGCGUGAGGUGGUGGUGGAACGUUUUCCCCUUGCGUUUUUUUUUUUUUUGGCUUUUAUGGCUAACAAGUUGGACUUUCAAGAACUCGUCGACAUCAUUAGAAAAAUAAUUCUAAAGUUAUCUCGGCUAAUUGGCAUUACGUUGACAAAUGUGAAACUUGCACAGCACUUCCGAAUGAGGCACGACUUUUCGAUGUAG